GAAGCCGGUGGAGUAACCUUUUAGGAGCUAGCCGUCGAAGGUGGGACAAAUGAUUGGGGUGAAGUCGUAACAAGGUAGCCGUAUCGGAAGGUGCGGCUGGAUCACCUCCUUUCUAAGGA
rnacentral:rRNA from 1 species